CUCCUGUUGCUUGAGCAGGACAACCCAGAAGAUUUCUGCUUGUCCAGGGUUUAAUAUGAAGUUGGGUUGGCCCACACUUUGCAGCUAUAACAGCUUCAACUCUGGUCCAUCGGAUUGUCAGACAGAGAAGCAUGAUUUAUCACUCCAGAGAACACUUCUCCACUGCUCUAGAGUCCAGUGGUCACGUGCUUUACACCAAGGCAUCCGACCUUUUGCAUUGCACUUGGUGAUGUUAGGCGUGGAUG